AUUGAACGCUGGCGGCAUGCUUUACACAUGCAAGUCGAACGGCAGCGCGGGCUUCGGCCUGGCGGCGAGUGGCGAACGGGCGAGUAAUACAUCGGAACGUGCCCAGCAGCGGUGGAUUGCUCGGCGAAAGCCGGAUUAAUACCGCAUACGACCUGAGGGCGAAAGCGGGGGAUCUUCGGACCUCGCGCUAUUGGAGCGGCCGAUGGCAGAUUAGCUAGUUGGUGGGGUAAAGGCCUACCAAGGCGACGAUCUGUAGCUGGUCUGAGAGGACGACCAGCCACACUGGGACUGAGACACGGCCCAGACUCCUACGGGAGGCAGCAGUGGGGAAUUUUGGACAAUGGGCGAAAGCCUGAUCCAGCAAUGCCGCGUGUGUGAUGAAGGCCUUCGGGUUGUAAAGCACUUUUGGCGGGAACGAAAAGGACUGUGCCAAUACCACGGUUCGAUGACGGUACCCGCAGAAUAAGCACCGGCUAACUACGUG
rnacentral:rRNA from 1 species